AUCAGAACCCCAUAAAGCAAGGGUUUGCAUUAUGGUUUGGGAUUAACAUAAAGACAUUCAGCCUAAAGCAGCCUGUUGCCUUCAACAGCAGAAAACUUACAUGGCCUUGCAACCUGAAAGCUGUCAAAUACCACAUACGUGAUUGUGGAGUUUGGACCCCACUGUUGCUAGCUCAGACAUUCAAUAAAACAUCUCAGUCGACACUUUAAAAGAAUGAUCGUGUCUUCUGAUGAGAGCAGUAGGCUGAGUCAGGAGAUCAAUGCUUAAUUUUUAAACUGCUGCAGAUUAUUCUACCUUGGCUCUUCUUCGUUACUCUGACGGUUAAUUUUGAACUGACAGAACUUCUGAUGAAUACAGAAUGUUUUCAGGGACUACGUCUGUGACGGCCUGCGAUACCGAGUCUCACUGUGCUCAGGUUGGUGUCUCGCCAAGUCCACACAGUGCCAGAAGACAUUGAUUCAAAAAGACAUCCGAGAAGGCUGAAAUGAUACUUCUGAAUUGUAUCUCCUUCUCAAUUCCUUUUUUAAAGCGUAUGCUUUUGUGUUUCCC
ensembl:lncRNA